CCUUCCUUCCUUCCUCUCCUUCCUCUCCUUCCUCUCCUUCCUUCUCCAGAAUGAAUCAGGAGAGGACCCAUGUCUCCUUUCUUUUCCUGCCCACUCCUCUCUUCAGCACCUCCUCAGUAAAUCCACUGGAUUUGAUAUUUACCUUGUCUCCAGCAGAUUGCAGGGGGCAAAACUCUGCUUUCAGCAUUUCUUGACACCCCUGGGAUGCAGCUGCUGGUGUUCUCUGCGAUGGAGGCUCGUUGUCUCUUAGACAUGCCAGGUCACCAGAACACUUUCUGAUUAUGCCAUUUUUGGUAGAUGGCCCAAAGCAAAAUUGGCUGCUCUCUGGAGUGACAGCUAGAUUGCAGCUUGACAUGAAUGAAGAGCAUAGCAAGAUGGAACAGAUUUUUGCUCCAAGCCUUCUCUGCUGAUGUGUUAACUUUGGCAGCAUCAUUUGGAGAAAAAAGUGAAUUAAUCUCAUUGGAGUUGUGUACAAAAGGGACUGGGAGAAGGAACAGGGGGGAAAAAAAGGAUGUGUGAAUCUGUGUUGAUUAUUUUGAAGCCAUAAACAAGUGGCAUCAGAAAAGAUUUUGACAACCAUAUGGACAUUCAGAAGUGUGAAAUCUUCUGAAAUGAUGUGCAAUCAUGUAAGGACUGACAUAAAAAAAAGAAAAUAAGACAAGAUAAAGAUUGAUGAGAUGUACAGACAGCAGAUUGCAGUCUGUGAUACAGGAGUUAAGAUUCUUGGUACAUGAAAAAAAAGUUACCUAGAAAAAAAAGAUUUUAUAUAAAUAAAAUCAAAUUAAAUUAAAUUACAUAAAAGAAUGUUCCCAAAGGUAAUAGAAAUAACAGUCAAUCCUAUUUCUUAUUGCUGGUUUUCAGAACUAGACUCUGGGGAACAGCAGUCUCAGGGACAGAGCAACAGCUUUCCACUGAAAUAAUAAUUGUUUUUCUGGGGAGCUUCACUGGAGGUGCCACAUGCAAUCUGGAUUUUUCACAGAGCAAAACCACAGGUAGAAGAGUGCAGGUCCUGCUGAAGGCCAUCAGCUGUGCUGGCUGAGAUCAGGAACUGCCAUGGCACUGCAAGGUAUCUCCCCUGAUCUUCUCCAAGGGGACACUUAUAUCCCAGAGCUUGGGAAGUGCUGCCUGAGAGGCAAGUAGGAUGACAAGAAAGCAGAUUUGCAAAUGUUGUAGCUUUGGUGUAGCACGUUUCCACACAAGCUGUAUGUGUGUGCGUCAGGGACAUCCCUGUGGGCCACAUGAGGGUGCGUGAUGUGACACACACCAGAGGAGAAAAGUGCUGCUCUGCUGCCCUGGGGAAGCCCAUCAGAUCUGGGCAAGGGCCACCACGCUGCCUGAGGUCUUACCUGCUAGGAGAAGAGAAACUUGAGAGGUCUGGGCUCUCUCUGAGGACUAAGUUUAAAUGCCGGCACUCUGAGCCUCUUCACAACCUGACUGUUUGGUGCCUUUCCCCUUUAAGUUAUCACAGUGCACAAUAAUGUGAGACAAAAAUUGCAGCAAAAUACUUUUCAGGCUCUGAUUUGCUUCUGAUUUCAGCUUCCACUGUGACAGCAUCCGAGGUCCAGAUUGUGGUUUGUAUUUCUUAUUGCAUCACAAGAGAAUGGGAAAAGCAGAUGAAAGGUGAAAAACUGAAAAUGGAAAACAAACCAGCUAUACCAUCUUAAGGAAGCAGGAACAAAAGUAGACUGAACUCUCAGAUGAGAAAUGAUUUUUCAUGGGAAGACAAAGAUCAGGGCAAGAGUUGGCUUUUAUGUAUAAUGGGAUGAAAUAGAUGAUGCCUAUGAAAUGAGUCUGUUUGCAUAAUUUCAACACUGAAAAAGUGCAGCAUCUGUGCACUGUAUAUAAUAUACACUAUCCCAUAGUCUGAUGCUUUGAUCCUCUUCCCAUUCUGCAGUAUUUCCAUUAGAUCUCAAUCCUUUAGAAGUCAGUACACAUCCAAAAAUGUUCACACACAUCUUAAAUUUUUCGAUAUAUGUCUUCUAAGUAUACCCUUCCUUUCCUUCCCUUUGCCUUUCACCCUACAAUCCUUUGUUGUUUGGUGACAUUGGCAGAGUCACCAGUAAAUUUCAUGUCUCAGAGUCUCUUUCCACCACUGAAGGUGGUACAUGGAGUUAGUCCUAAGAGGUUCCAGCAAGAAAGUGUCACUGAAGAGAAUAUGAUGAACUGCAUAGAGAAACUUUUUUUUUUGCUAUUGGAAAAGAAAACUGAGAAUAUUUUAAGAUUCCAUGAUCUGUAUUUUCAGACUCUGGAGUGACAGGCCUAAAGAAAAGCAUAUCAAGACCCCUCCUUAUUUCUUUAUUUAAUGAGAAAACAGAUUUACUGUUUCCAAACGUACAAUGUCAGGGGCUGGGAAUACAACAGUGCUGAGGGUCCCAGCGUGAAAGGCAUCUCUGGACAAAAGUGCACAGGGAACAACUCUAGAUGGAAGAUCAGCAGCUAUCCUCUACUGAAUGGCACAUGCCUUCUGUGUGGCUUCACACAAGACCCUGAACCAUGCAGUGUCCCAGUCUUCCCAAGGAAAAAUUGAGAAUAACAUUGUGUCACCAAGCAUAGCUCUAAUGUAGUCCCGCUUACUACAAACAUAAACACAAUAAUCUUAUUUUAUUAGAUGCCUAUUCCAGCAGACUUCUGUUGAAAGGAGGAGAAGGCAGUGCUUGUUUUCUGUAGGAAAUGGCUCUGCGUUACAACCCUGAAAGCUCAGCUUGGAGUCAGCUCUCUUUUCCUGCCCAUUUCCAGCUGUGUCAGAAAGAGCUAAUGGCUGGAUACCAGGCAGACUGCACACUGAUACAAGAGAGGUCAGCUUCCCAAAAUUACUGCCUCUCCGGGGAUUAUUUUAACUCUCUUGAUCUCCAAGAACUAUCAUGCCUCAGAGAGGAAUGCUUCAGACUUGAGUGGAAAAAGAGAAGAAUGAGCUUGGAAAGCAAACAAACUACCCUGGAAGCCAGCACUUGUCCAUGUGAGUAUGUGCUUGCCUAUUCCCAUGGCCUGAGCUGGCCUUUGGCUCUACUCUUUGCAGAAGCCUGAAAAAAGGUAAACCCUAAGCAGUGAAUCCCACUAUGCUCAGAGAACUUGACCACCACUUUAACUAAAGAAAUUCCAUGUAGCUCCUUUGUGAAUUUUCCUUGUGUUAGCUAAGUCAGGAUCAGCAAGUUAACUUGUCAGGAUCCCAUUUCUGGGACAUUCUCCUCCUCUGACUUUUGGUCUGCUAUUUCCUUGUUCUUGACUUCUGUAUGAGCAUUUGCAACAACACAGAAUUAAAAAUUCAAUUUUAAACUUGUUUCCCUGAGCUGUAAGGGUGAUCCUAUCAGCCUACCUUGAUCUAAUGCAUAAGGCCUUGGGUGACCAUCACAAAUAAGAUAACAUUUCAAAAGCCAAGGUCCCACAGAGCUGAGGGUCUGUCAAGAGCCUGCAGACAGCAAGUCCAAUUCUUUCCUGCCCCCAAAAAAAUUUUAUUUUAGUAUCUUGGAUCCCUAUUAAAGUGCUGGGCUGGCCCUGUCACUCUUAGGGAGAUCAAGAGCCUGAGCUGUUAGCACCCAGCAUUAACACUGGGUAGGAAUUCUUUGGCUCUGCACAAGGUUUCCCUGCCACCUCAUGUUCCCAGUUUUCUCUGUUGCCUUAGCAGAGGAUGGAUUGACCCCAGCAGAGUGGAGCACCAUCACCUCCCAACACCAGUGACUCAGAGGGGGCAACUGUUCCCAUGGGAUGAAAUCCCACUUUUUAAUGGCAGGCACAUCUAAUAUACCCCUUCUAGGAGAGUGUGUGGAGACUCCUCCCUUGGCUGGGGACUCCCCCAAGGCUGAGCAGAAUAGAUUUGCCCACAAUUGCUGGUAUGGCUGCAGCUCCUCACAGCAGCCUCCCCCUGCGUUUGAAGCCCACGACACGGAGCACAGACCUCCCUGUGUGAAACACAUAGACCGGCAGAUAAUCCAGAUCAGUUUACCUCUGUGUACCUGGCAGCACGCUACUGUGCACUGACCAAAUAUCAGAAGAGUUUGUGGUUAAUUAGGAUCAGAUUAAUCCCUGCUGACUGCCUGUCUCUGUGUAAAAAGGGCACUAGAGGUUAGAAAGUAUUAAGUACCUUAAAUGUCUACUUGCAUAAUGUAAAAACCUACUGAAGAUCCAGACUUUGUGCUUUAGUGUUGAUGUGAAAUAAUUUACCCCGAGAGGCAUUUAAAUGUGCUUCUUAUCCUAUCAAAGUAAAAGAAUCCAUUAAAAAUAUUCCAGGAUAAAAUGUAAUAAAUAUUUGGCCAUGGAAAAUAAUAAACCUGCAGAAGAGUGGAGACAAGACAUCUACAAAAAAGUGCCUUAGAGACUCUGAACAUUAUUUCCAACUUCAAAGAAUUUUGCUCAGCAUAUAAAGUAUCAUUUUUUUAUCUGCAAUAAAGCUUUUCUAUGAUACAA